rnacentral:rRNA from 1 species
CCUACGGGCGGCAGCAGUGGGGAAUAUUGGACAAUGGGGGGAACCCUGAUCCAGCCAUGCCGCGUGUGUGAAGAAGGCCCUCGGGUUGUAAAGCACUUUCAGUGAGGAAGAACGCCUGGUGGUUAAUACCCAUCAGGAAAGACAUCACUCACAGAAGAAGCACCGGCUAACUCCGUGCCAGCAGUCGCGGUAAUACGGAGGGUGCGAGCGUUAAUCGGAAUUACUGGGCGUAAAGCGCGCGUAGGUGGCUUGAUAAGCCGGUUGUGAAAGCCCCGGGCUCAACCUGGGAACGGCAUCCGGAACUGUCAAGCUAGAGUGCAGGAGAGGAAGGUAGAAUUCCCGGUGUAGCGGUGAAAUGCGUAGAGAUCGGGAGGAAUACCAGUGGCGAAGGCGGCCUUCUGGACUGACACUGACACUGAGGUGCGAAAGCGUGGGUAGCAAACAGGAUUAGAUACCCUAGUAGUC